CCAGGGAGCUGGUAUGUGAAAUGUUGGGUUGUUUAAAGAAAGCUAAGGGCUCAGAAAAACUACAUCUACACUGACGCCAGCUCAGAAACCAACGUUCUGAUGCCAUGUCAGGUCAGACAUACCAUCUCUGUCACUUUGGCAGCUCAGACAACAUCAUGAGGCCAGGGUGGGGCGCUCGGAUACCACCUGUCGAGACCUGUAGGUUUACCUGCAGCUUUGUUGCUCAAGAUUCCAUCUGCUGAGAACUGUAAAUUUGCUUGCAGUAUUGUUGUGAUUGCGUCCUGUAGUGUCUUUGGAUUUGCUUUGAUCCUGAAUAAAACUCUUUUAAUUGAA